ACUGAACGCUGGCGGCAUGCCUUACACAUGCAAGUCGAACGGCAGCGCGGACUUCGGUCUGGCGGCGAGUGGCGAGCGGGUGAGUAAUACAUCGGAACGUACCCUGUUGUGGGGGAUAACUAGUCGAAAGAUUAGCUAAUACCGCAUACGACCUGAGGGUGAAAGUGGGGGACCGCAAGGCCUCACGCAGCAGGAGCGGCCGAUGUCUGAUUAGCUAGUUGGUGGGGUAAAGGCCCACCAAGGCGACGAUCAGUAGCUGGUCUGAGAGGACGAUCAGCCACACUGGGACUGAGACACGGCCCAGACUCCUACGGGAGGCAGCAGUGAGGAAUUUUGGACAAUGGGGGCAACCCUGAUCCAGCAAUGCCGCGUGUGUGAAGAAGGCCUUCGGGUUGUAAAGCACUUUUGUCCGGAAAGAAAUCGCGCUGGUUAAUACCUGGCGUGGAUGACGGUACCGGAAGAAUAAGCACCGGCUAACUACGUGCCAGCAGCCGCCGCCG
rnacentral:rRNA from 1 species